CACCAGCCGGGGGUCCAGGUCCUCGAAGAAGUGCAUGUCCGACGUGUUGAAGCACGGGUCAUCGUAGAAAUCGUCGGCGGCCGCGAAGGAGCAGAGGGAGCCCUCCGUCAUCUCCAUGGGGCCCAUUAUAAGUGCUGGUGGCAUUCUGGCUCAUUUAAAAUCAAAGGCAAAGCUGAGAGCAUCUCAGAAGGUGACAGAACAUCAGUUGGCGGUUGAGUCCGCGGUCCCCGUGCCUGUGGCAGCUCAGACGGGCCAUCACCAUGGUCAUGGUUGAAAUGAAGCUGAGAAGAGAGUGGCAGGUUGUACUUCCUGCGCUGCAAAGCAUGCAGAGGAUCAUCCUGUGCACAACAGACAGGUACUGCUGACAAAGAGAUCACAGGCACACAUGCCUCACUGCACAAGCAUCACGUGGACAAGAAAAGCUUCGGUUAUCUAUGGCAGAAAAUCCAGAAGGUAUUUUGGGAGAGAGAGAAAGGCCUGAAAUCUGAGAAAGUACUGGCAUGUUUAGCUACAAAGAUAAAGAUGAGAAGAUUCUCUGAGAAGCUCACACGACAGUGUUUCAGGGAAAAAGAAGCAGCAAGUAAGUCUUGCAUUGAAAAGUUUAAAUGUUGGGCUCCUUGUUGUGUUGCAGUUCAUUUAAGGUCUUCAGUGCUAGAAACCGGUGCCUGUAUUGUAGGUUAACAACUCUUAAUGGAGAAGACUGCUGUAGAUCAAACAUGGCCUCUAUUAGCAAUAUGACACUAGUUUAUAAUUCAACA